rnacentral:rRNA from 1 species
UGAGGAAUAUUGGUCAAUGGGCGAGGGCCUGAACCAGCCAAGUAGCGUGCAGGAUGACGGCCCUAUGGGUUGUAAACUGCUUUUAUGUGGGGAUAAAGUGCGUGACGUGUCAUGCAUUGCAGGUACCACAUGAAUAAGGACCGGCUAAUUCCGUGCCAGCAGCCGCGGUAAUACGGAAGGUCCGGGCGUUAUCCGGAUUUAUUGGGUUUAAAGGGAGCGUAGGCUGUCUAUUAAGCGUGUUGUGAAAUUUACCGGCUCAACCGGUGGCUUGCAGCGCGAACUGGUCGACUUGAGUAUGCAGGAAGUAGGCGGAAUUCAUGGUGUAGCGGUGAAAUGCUUAGAUAUCAUGACGAACUCCGAUUGCGCAGGCAGCUUACUGUAGCAUAACUGACGCUGAUGCUCGAAAGUGCGGGUAUCAAACAGG